AGGUUGAUAUUCCUGUACCACCUAUAAUCGUUUUAAUCGAUGGGGGGACGCAGUAGGAUAGGCGAAGCGUGCGAUUGGAUUGCACGUCUAAGCAGUAAGGCUGAGUAUUAGGCAAAUCCGGUACUCGUUAAGGCUGAGCUGUGAUGGGGAGAAGACAUUGUGUCUUCGAGUCGUUGAUUUCACACUGCCGAGAAAAGCCUCUAGAUAGAAAAUAGGUGCCCGUACCGCAAACCGACACAGGUAGUCAAGAUGAGAAUUCUAAGGUGAGCGAGCGAACUCUCGUUAAGGAACUCGGCAAAAUGACCCCGUAACUUCGGGAGAAGGGGUGCUCUUUAGGGUUAACGCCCAGAAGAGCCGCAGUGAAUAGGCCCAAGCGACUGUUUAUCAAAAACACAGGUCUCUGCUAAACCGUAAGGUGAUGUAUAGGGGCUGACGCCUGCCCGGUGCUGGAAGGUUAAGAGGAGUGGUUAGCUUCUGCGAAGCUACGAAUCGAAGCCCCAGUAAACGGCGGCCGUAACUAUAACGGUCCUAAGGUAGCGAAAUUCCUUGUCGGGUAAGUUCCGACCCGCACGAAAGGCGUAACGAUUUGGGCACUGUCUCAACGAGAGACUCGGUGAAAUCAUAGUACCUGUGAAGAUGCAGGUUACCCGCGACAGGACGGAAAGACCCCGUGGAGCUUUACUGUAGCCUGAUAUUGAAAUUCGGCACAGCUUGUACAGGAUAGGUAGGAGCCUUUGAAACGUGAGCGCUAGCUUACGUGGAGGCGCUGGUGGGAUACUACCCUAGCUGUGUUGGCUUUCUAACCCGCACCACUUAUCGUGGUGGGAGACAGUGUCAGGCGGGCAGUUUGACUGGGGCGGUCGCCUCCUAAAAGGUAACGGAGGCGCUCAAAGGUUCCCUCAGAAUGGUUGGAAAUCAUUCAUAGAGUGUAAAGGCAUAAGGGAGCUUGACUGCGAGACCUACAAGUCGAGCAGGGUCGAAAGACGGACUUAGUGAUCCGGUGGUUCCGCAUGGAAGGGCCAUCGCUCAACGGAUAAAAGCUACCCCGGGGAUAACAGGCUUAUCUCCCCCAAGAGUUCACAUCGACGGGGAGGUUUGGCACCUCGAUGUCGGCUCAUCGCAUCCUGGGGCUGUAGUCGGUCCCAAGGGUUGGGCUGUUCGCCCAUUAAAGCGGUACGCGAGCUGGGUUCAGAACGUCGUGAGACAGUUCGGUCCCUAUCCGUCGUGGGCGUAGGAAAUUUGAGAGGAGCUGUCCUUAGUACGAGAGGACCGGGAUGGACAUACCUCUGGUGUACCAGUUGUCGUGCCAACGGCAUAGCUGGGUAGCUAUGUGUGGACGGGAUAAGUGCUGAAAGCAUCUAAGCAUGAAGCCCCCCUCAAGAUGAGAUUUCCCAACUUCGGUUAUAAGAUCCCUCAAAGAUGAUGAGGUUAAUAGGUUCGAGGUGGAAGCAUGGUGACAUGUGGAGCUGACGAAUACUAAUCGAUCGAAGACUUAAUCAA
rnacentral:rRNA from 1 species